UGGGGAAUAUUGCACAAUGGAGGGAACUCUGAUGCAGCGACGCCGCGUGAACGAAGAAGGCUUUCGAGUCGUAAAGUUCUUUUAUAUGGGAAGAUAAUGACGGUACCAUAAGAAAAAGCCCCGGCUAACUACGUGCCAGCAGCCGCGGUAAUACGUAGGGGGCUAGCGUUGUCCGGAAUCACUGGGCGUAAAGGGUUCGCAGGUGGAAAUGCAAGUCAGGUGUAAAAGGCAGUAGCUUAACUACUGUAAGCAUUUGAAACUGCAUAUCUUGAGAAGAGUAGAGGUAAGUGGAAUUUUUAGUGUAGCGGUGAAAUGCGUAGAUAUUAAAAAGAAUACCGGUGGCGAAGGCGGCUUACUGGGCUCAUUCUGACGCUGAGGAACGAAAGCGUGGGUAGCAAACAGG
rnacentral:rRNA from 1 species